rnacentral:tRNA from 2 species
GGGUCGGUAACAAACGUUGGCCUUGUAGCGGAUUCUUAAUCCGCCAUCACGUGGGUUCGAUUCCCACCCGACCCA